UACGUAGGUGGCAAGCGUUUGUCCGGAUUUACUGGGCGUAAAGGAUGCGUAGGCGGAUACUUAAGUCAGAUGUGAAAUUCCCGAGCUUAACUUGGGGGGCUGCAUUUGAAACUGGGUAUCUAGAGUGCGGGAGAGGAAAGUGGAAUUCCUAGUGUAGCGGUGAAAUGCGUAGAGAUUAGGAAGAACACCAGUGGCGAAGGCGACUUUCUGGACCGUAACUGACGCUGAGGCAUGAAAGCGUGGGGAGCAAACAGG
rnacentral:rRNA from 1 species